rnacentral:rRNA from 1 species
GGGAUUGCCUUAGUAACGGCGAGUGAAGCGGCAAAAGCUCAAAUUUGAAAUCUGGUACCUUCGGUGCCCGAGUUGUAAUUUGGAGAGGGCAACUUUGGGGCCGUUCCUUGUCUAUGUUCCUUGGAACAGGACGUCAUAGAGGGUGAGAAUCCCGUGUGGCGAGGAGUGCGGUUCUUUGUAAAGUGCCUUCGAAGAGUCGAGUUGUUUGGGAAUGCAGCUCUAAGUGGGUGGUAAAUUCCAUCUAAAGCUAAAUAUUGGCGAGAGACCGAUAGCGAACAAGUACAGUGAUGGAAAGAUGAAAAGAACUUUGAAAAGAGAGUGAAAAAGUACGUGAAAUUGUUGAAAGGGAAGGGCAUUUGAUCAGACAUGGUGUUUUGUGCCCUCUGCUCCUUGUGGGUAGGGGAAUCUCGCAUUUCACUGGGCCAGCAUCAGUUUUGGUGGCAGGAUAAAUCCAUAGGAAUGUAGCUUGCCUCGGUAAGUAUUAUAGCCUGUGGGAAUACUGCCAGCUGGGACUGAGGACUGCGACGUAAGUCAAGGAUGCUGGCAUAAUGGUUAUAUGCCGCCCGUCUUGAAACACGGACCUCCUGUGUGAAGUG